GGGGAAUUUUGGACAAUGGGCGAAAGCCUGAUCCAGCCAUGCCGCGUGUAUGAAGAAGGCCUUCGGGUUGUAAAGUACUUUUGUUAGGGAAGGAAAGCUUAUUGCUAAUAUCAGUGAGCCAUGACGGUACCUAAAGAAUAAGCACCGGCUAACUACGUGCCAGCAGCCGCGGUAAUACGUAGGGUGCAAGCGUUAAUCGGAAUUACUGGGCGUAAAGCGAGCGCCGGCGGUUAUUUAAGUCAGGUGUGAAAGCCCCGAGCUCAACUUGGGACGUGCAUUUGAAACUGGAUAACUAGAGUGUGUCAGAGGGGGGUAGAAUUCCACGUGUAGCAGUGAAAUGCGUAGAGAUGUGGAGGAAUACCGAUGGCGAAGGCAGCCCCCUGGGAUAACACUGACGCUCAUGCUCGAAAGCGUGGGUAGCAAAC
rnacentral:rRNA from 1 species